rnacentral:rRNA from 1 species
GACGAACGCUGGCGGCGCGCCUAACACAUGCAAGUCGAGCGAGAACCAGGCCUUCGGGCCUGGGGACAGCGGCGAACGGGUGAGUAACACGUGAGUAAUCAACCCUCGGCACCGGGAUAGCCCGGGGAAACCCGGAUUAAUACCGGAUGGCCCAUCCGCUUUUCGGAGCGGCUGGAAAAGGUAGCUUCGGCCUCUGGCCGAGGACGAGCUCGCGGCCGAUUAGCUUGUUGGUGGGGUAAUGGCUCACCAAGGCUCCGAUCGGUAGCUGGUCUGAGAGGACGAUCAGCCACACUGGGACUGAGACACGGCCCAGACUCCUACGGGAGGCAG